rnacentral:lncRNA from 1 species
UGCACGAAGCUGAGUUCUGGAUGAACUCAGGUUCGGCAGCUGAAGGAGGAUUCGGCCGCCGAACAUGCCCGACUUUCGUCUCUGGAGGAGACAUUCGGCCGCCGAAGGUGCUGGCGAAGGUGCCCUGUCCAACCUUCCUUUGCUUGUUUUGCAUGCAUGUCUUGAGGUGUUCUAGAGGGGUUUUAGGGAGUUGUUUGUCAGUUGCAUAGAGUAUGUUUGGUGCCUCAUUUGAGUCCUCCAUUGUAGGAUUGGACCCGAGGAACCGAGGUGUGUAGCAGUAGUAGCUGCUUCCGAGUGAGAGGUAGCCCAGAGUUAGCCAAGCAGUGGCUACAGGUGAGUGGAACUAAACUUCAUAUUUUACUUGAGAAAUGACACGUUUCUUGCAUGAUUCAUGCAUCAUAAAAUGCCAUGUUAUGUAUUAGGUUGUAUUGCAUUAGAAUUCACGAAUAUGAUGCAUUGCAUAAGAUGAUAUUUGUAUGGAUGAAUGUUGUAUGAUCCUUAGCCCUUGAUAUAUGCAGAGAUACGAUGAGAUCAGAUGAGAUGUGGCAUGAGGUAGCCAUACCAGGUCGCUCCUGGAUAGUCCAGGUCGCUCCUAGUACUAUGAGUCAGACAGUCAGCCUGUCAGGUCAGACAGAGAAGUCCAGGUGAGGCCUAAUCGCCCCUGGCACAGUUGGACAUGUUAUGAUAUGAGUCAGUUAAGAGAAGUCCAGGUGAGGCCUAAUCGCCCCUAGCGCAGUUGGACAUACUACUAUGUAUGUAGAGGGCUAUGGUGACAAAUUCAUCCUUGAGAUGAUAUGUUUAUGAUGUAACGCAUUUCAUGAAAGCAUGUAAUUAAUGAACUGUUUUAUUGUUCCUCCUCACUGGGCUGUAGUAGCUCAUCCCACUCCCUUAACCCCAGUUUUGCAGAUUCCGAGGUAGCUAUGGGAAGUCAGAAGUCAGAGUCAGCAAGAGUAAAGAGGAAAGAUAUGCAUGAAUGUAUGUUUGUCAUAGAAUAGUGGACAUGAUGUAAUUAAUGUAUUAGUUGUAAUGUAAUGUAUAGAUAUGUACUAUCAGAUCAUGGAUAGAAUUGUGCUUUACCCUAGUGUCUUUGCCUUAGUAUGGUGUAUGAUUCAUCCCUUUGUACAUGGAUCCUGUUUUAUGUUUCUUGAGGAGAAAUGUGUGGAACCAAGGCUGACUUGUGAUAUGCUGACCCUAUGAGAAUGGGUUCUAUGUUUUUAGACAUAGUGCAUGCAGGUCGAGCGUGGUAACGCUGAGGAGAGUUUACAGGAUUGUUGAGUAUUGUUGAAUCAUGUAUGGGAUUUAUCAGGUACACAGAGAGUACAGUCGGCUUGCUACGGGUCCCGGCGGCCGUAAGCCGCUCUGGAUCCUAGUGCCAGUGAUGGUUCAGACCAUUACAGAGGGGUACUGGUUUCCGGGCUGUUACAGAUUGGUAUCAGAGCAUAGGGCCUCCUGAGUACGAUGUGCUGAGUAAGUAGGCUCAGUGAUUAGAGAGAUCUCACAUCGGAAAGAGGUUAAGAUAGUAGAGCAUAGAGCCUCAAGAGUACGGAGUGUUGAGCAUCUUUGUUCACGGACUAGAGAAAUCCCACAUCGGAAAGAGGUGAUGUCUUGUAUAGGAAGGGUAAGCACAAUAGGCAAAAUCAUGUCCACUAGGAUAGGAUGUGGAGUCCUGUCUUGCAUGAUGAUGUGAAAUGCCAUGAUGAGAUGCAUGUGCAUUAUUGAUAUGUGAUAUCUAUAUGUUGUGGCUUCAUGUGUUCUCACAUGGAUCAUUUGAUGUUUUGUGUGAUGUUGUGCUUUUCAGAGGCAGGAUGAGAGGAACUCGUCGAUCUGUUAGAUUGACUGGAGCUCCGCCGGAGAAUGAGGACAUGGAUGCCCAUCACCCCGUUUUGCAAAGGGCAACAUCAGAUAGAUUAAGCAGAGAAGGUACAUCAAGGGACCCUAGAAGGUCUGUUGAUGAGAGUAGAAGGGGAGUCGUUCAGAGUGGUGUGUCAGUGGAUAUGAGGGAAUCAGAGGAGGAUGAACAGAGGAGAGAAGAUAGUUUGGGCAUGAGUAUGACAGGCGAGGAUAUGGGAGAGUUUCACGUAGACACCCAGGCCUCGGGUUUUGUUCCACCUCAGUAUCCACCCUACCCGUGGGGGUCAGGGUACCCGAUGAGUGGUACAGCGGGUUUCCCUAGGUAUAUCCCAUAUCCCACCUUUAUGCCCUAUCCUUCCUUUUACCCGCCAUAUCCACCGCCAUAUCCACAAUAUACCAUGUUUCCACCCUUCUUUGGUUAUCCAAGUUCAGCAAACCCUAACCUAGGGAAUGUUGCACCUCCUCCACCACCAGUAGAACCAGUAGCCCCAGUUGUUCAAACACCUAAGCCUAGCUCAUCUGGAGAAAGUAAGGUAAAGAUAACAGACUAUUUGAGGUUGGAUGUUCCCAAGUUUGAGACUGGUGAUGACCCUUUUGAGUAUCUCAGAACGGUCAAGAUGAUAACUGAUGAGUUGGGAGCCAGUGAGAGUAGAGCUAUUCAGAUGGCAGGGUUCACACUGAAAUGUGAGAAGGCAAGGGAAUGGUUUAAACAUUAUGUGGACCUGAGGAUGGAAAGCUUAUCCUGGGAGCAGUUUGCUCAUGAGUUUGUAGGAUGGGUUUUUCCAGACAGGUCAAGGGAGAGGUUCCAUGAUAUAGUAGAGAUGGCAUAGAAGAUGGAGGCUAGUGCCAAACUUGCAGGGACAAGUGAUGUUAAUCUCUCCCCUCUGCAUGAGGCUGGUACAAAGAGUAAGAAGGGAGGCAAAGGCCGCAGAAAAGCAAAGAAGAACAAGUUCUGGAAGCAAAUAAAGUCUGGUCUGGGAAUAGGUGAGGGAUCGAGCUCUGGUUUGAACAACUCCAAAUGUCCGAGGUGCGGUAGGCCGCACAAGGGAGUCUGUCUAGUAGGGACAACAGCAUGUUUCAGGUGUGGACAGGAGGGGCACAUAGCACGUGAGUGUUCCACCGCGACUUUGAUAAUACAGUCCCAGCAGACAGCCUCAGACAGAGUGGCUCAGCCAGGAGCUCUACCCAUGGCGUUGGGCAGAGGCAGAGGGAGUGAGAUCACUCCUUCUUCCACAGGUUCCCCAGGUGAAGGUCCAUCAGUACCAGCACGGAUCUUUGCUUUGAUGCAGCAGGAGGCUCACACAUCGGACCUGGCGGUGACAGGUACUUUUCACUUCCAUAUGUUUUGAUGUGUCUGCUAUUAGAGGCUUUGAUGUUUCGCUUUCCUUAGUGCGUUGAGAGCCAUAGUGAGUAGGGGUUUGAUAGGUUUUGGGAUUAGAAUGUCCUCUUUGGGUCAAUAGACCCAAGUGUGAUCCAUCAGCGGCAGAGUCAAUCUGCCAGUUGAGUUCAGUGCUAGUUAUGAGUAGGUGCCUUCCAGCUGACCUAGUGGUUCUAGAGUGAUGGUUUGAUGUCAUUCUAGGGGUGGAUGGGCUAGCUACUCAUAGUACUGCCUUAGAUAGUAGAGAUAGAGUAGUCAGGCUUAGAGAUCAGGAUGGAUCAUAGGUAGUUUGUUGAGGGGACAGUGUAGAGAUGCUUGGAGUUUGAUAUCAGCCCUAUAGGCUCUUAAGCUGGUCAGGCGAGAUUAUCCGAGGUUUCUUGCUUGUGUCAGAGAGCAUAGCAGUUAGUCAGAUCAGGAGGGGAACCAGUUUUAGUGCCCGCAGCUAGAGAAAAGUUUUAGAUACUGACCCAGACAAGUCAUUAGGUUUACCACCUGCUAAGAGAAUGGGAUAUAGGAAUGGUGUCUAGACCCAGAAUCAUUCCUAGUCUUCUCUGCAGGAUGGCACCAGUAGAGUAAGAGAGAUAGUAAAAGCCAAACGAGUAGUAGCUAGAGGUUAGUGAGCCAGGAAAGAUGCUCGAAAGUGUUGCUAUGAGAGGCUAUGGCCUUGGAUUUUAUCCAGGUAUAGGGAGAGUGAUCUCUCAUCUCUGAAUGCAGUGAGAACAGAGUAAAAAGUAUAAGAGUAAAAGUAAGUAAGAUAGAGCAGGAUAAGAGUAAGAUAAAAGUAAGUAAACUAGAGCAGAAUAGAGAAAGAAAAGAGUAAGAGAAAGAAAAGAGUACGAGAAGUGUAAGUUCAGGAGGAGACUUCAGUUUGGUCUGGGAUUUGGUGGUGGUUGAGGCAGAGGAAUGGGUUAGCCUUUUCUUUAGAUUCCCGAGGGAAGUUUCGUUAGCCUUAGCUCGGAUCUUCAUCCUGACUCAGUAGAAGGCUAUCACAUCGAACACGGUGACGUCAGAUACGUUCACGUAGAAGUGUUCGGAUGUGUAUGCUAUUUGUGUUGAACCCGAGUGUUUCUCUUUCCUUGUUGCUUAGUGAGCUGUUGAUAGAAUGGGUUUGAUGACUUCUAGGCUUAGAGUGUUUUCUCUGGGUUAGUGGACCCGAGUAUGAUCCAUCUGAGGCAGAGUCAGUCAGUCAGAUCAGGUUAGAGUUUGUAGUGAGUAGAUGCUAUCCCGCUGACCUUAUGGUUCUAGAAUUGACUACUUGACGUCAUUCUAGGGCGGAUUGGCUAAUUACUCGUCUGCAGAGACAAGGUAGGAGAGUUCAGAGUGCUGGAUGGAUCAGAGAUAGUCCUUGGAAGGGACAGAGUAUAGGUGCCUAGAAGUUUGAUGUCAACCCAGCAGGCUCCUAGUUUACACAGGAAAGGUUGUCAGAGGGUUCUAGCUCUUGUGAGCGAGUUUAGGAGUCAGAUCAGGGAAUCAGCCUCAAUGCCUGUAACUAGUGAGUUCUAGCUAUUUUUCCCAGACGAGCUGUCAGAUUUACCAUCUGUCAGGGAAUUUGAGUUUGGAAUAGGAGUGGUGUCUGGACGCGGAACCAUUUCUUUCCUUCUACCCUACAGGAUGGCACCUGCAGAGAGAGCAUAGUCAGAGUAAGAUAGAGAAGCUUGGUAGAUAAAGGUUAUAUCCGACCUAGUACCUCACCCUGGAAUGUUCCAGUGUCGGUGUGAGAAACGAAGGAUGAAACCUUGAGAUUUUGUAACGACUGUGAACAGUUGAACAAAAUCACUACCAAGGACAGGUGUUCCCAUGCAGACUGGAUGAUCUAUAGGAAUAGCUAGUAGAAGCUAGUUGUUUUCCAAGCUAGAUCUGAAAUCUGAGUGCUAGCUGUUGAGAGCUAGAGUUAGUCCAGUGUAGUAGGAAGGGAUCAAAAGAGAAAAAAGCCAGUAUAGUAAAGAAGAAGAAAGGCGGGUAAAGAGCAGAGUGCGCAGCAAAAGCGUAGGCAUGCCCAUUAUCUACUAAGUGUUCUAGAGGCCAAGUUCUGUAAUAUGAGUUCAAUUUCGGGGCAUGUCUGUGUAAAUCGUGAUGUGUCACAAUACGAUUUCUAAAGUAAGUAGAGAGUUGAAGCUAUAGGCAAAGCAUCUAGCAUUUUCUUAGAGUUAUUGCUCUUUUGACCGGGUCGAGUAAAGAAAAGUAAAGGUUAGUGUAACCAGAGUAGUAUGAAUAAAACUGAGAAGAGCCAAAGAGAAAGGAAAGUCAGUAGUCAGAUGAAAGAAUCAAGUCAGUUGUGUACUGGCAGAAGUGAUAUACAGUCAGCGUAGAGUGUGGACACAAAUUAAGCAGUUAAGAAUCAGCAGAGUCAGGGAAUGAUUAUAUACGACUUAGGAGUGUUUACUCCAGUAAUAUCUGUGUCUCUUCUCUGAGGAAGGUGUUAGGCUUUCCUUAAUUGCUUGUUUGCAUGUUUGUUUGUUGUGUGAACAUUCGAGGACGAAUGUUCUUAAAGGGGGGAAGAAUGUAAUACCCAGCUAGAUUCAGACAUCGGAUCCGGUGGAAUGCGAGGAUGUCAGAGGUUUCUAGAAGGGUAAGAGAAAGGUUUUCUAAAAUGUUUUCGAGUGUUUUAAAGGUUUAGAAUGAAAAUGGAUUGAGUUUUGAAGAGAAAAGGCCAAGCAGGCAUUUUGCCAUGUUCGGCCGCCGAAGGUAAUGUUCGGCCGCCGAAAGUGCCCGAGAUUCGGCCCCCGAAAGUCUGAGUUCGGCCGUCGAAUGUUGCAUAGUUUUGCAUGCGAUUCGGUUGCCGAAGCUGAGGCAGUUGAUCAUCUAUAAAGGGCACCGAGUCCAGAAAAAAGGAGGAGGAUUCUUCUCUCUUUCUGGCCUAGGUGAGUUCUUGAUCUCCUUGGAUUGUUUUCAUGGUUUUUCAUUAAAUCUUUCAAAGUUAAACAAGUUUUAAGUAAGUUUUAUGUGUUUUUGAAGAGUUUGAAAGCUUGGAGGAGUUUGGAGCUUGGAUCUCCAUAUCUUCGAGUUUGGAUCACACCAGCUUUUGUUUUUCAAGAGGUAAGUGUUGAGCUAUGGUUUUUAUGAUGUUUUAGAUGAGUUUUAUGAAGGGGAAAGGGAGGUUGCAUGAUUGUGCAUCUUAGGGUUUAUGUACCCUUUGUGCAUGUUUGAUGUGUAUGUGGUUAGUUUUGGGGGUUUGAGCUUGUUUUCAGCCCCUAUGUGCUAGUAGAAGUGUUUAUGCAUGAUUUGGCGAGGUUAGAUGCAUGUGGUGAGAACGUAGCAGGGGUUGGAGGGUCUGGAAGGCGUCCUUGUGCACGAAGCUGAGUUCUGGAUGAACUCAGGUUCGGUAGCCGAAGGAGGAUUCAGCCGCCGAACAUGCCCGACUUUCGUCUCUGGAGGAGACAUUCGGCCGCCGAAGGUGCUGCCGAAGGUGCCCUGUCCAGCCUUCCUUUGCUUGUUUUGCAUGCAUGUCUUGAGGUGUUCUAGAGGGGUUUUGGGGAGUUGUUUGUCAGUUGCAUAGAGUAUGUUUGGUGCCUCAUUUGAGUCCUCCAUUGUAGGAUUGGACCCGAGGAACCGAGGUGUGUAGCAAUAGUAGCUGCUUC